GAAACCCUAAAAUUAGAGAAGCACUACUUGAUCUUAUCCGAGCAGGAACAAAGAGGGCUCCAGAGUUGCUUGAGAGCCACCCUCCCUUCCCUUAGGGCUGCCGGCGGCUCAAUCUUGACUCUUUGCCUUCUACUCUUGCGAUGAAGACUGCCCGCCGUCGGAGCCCCUCCUAUCUCAUGAUGGGGGCAGUGAUGGCUUCGCGGGCUCAUCCCCCCAAUCCAAAUUAUUUUGUUCGUGUUCUUGUUGUUGUUGUUGAUCUGGUCUGUUUCAUAUUUCAUCUCUUGUUCUUGAUUGGUGUGGAAUGCUUUCUCUGAUUAUUUUGGUACUUGCUGGUUAUAAUAUGUAUGUAUCGCAUGCGGACUCUUUAGUUGUUCCUCUAUCCUCCAUUUGAAAGUUGAUUACUCUUAAUUCAUCAUUCAAAUUAAUUUGAUUGUGUGGGUACUUGUCAUUGUUAUGGCUUUUCUGAGAGGUUUCAUUGAGAAUGCUGUUUUGCUUUGCACUUUUCUGUGUCAAAAAUCAGCGGCUACAUGCUCUCUUGCUACUUCGUUUACCAGAAAAGGAAAAAAGAUGAAUUGGUUUCGAAUUUGUUCACAUUUCUCCUGGGAAUACAUUUGCAUGCCUCCCCUAUAUAAUAUGCCUCUACAUCUUUGGUCUUUGAAUUCUUUCCGGGAAGAGACUGCAUUCCUUCAGCCAAUAAUGUGGUUUCACAGCUAGUUCUCGAUGGCAUAUUAUUUGUUGGAAUUGUGAGGAUAAAGGAACGGCUCACUUCUUUAGAUAGGAACUGUGAUCUGUUGGGUAUGACUGGCUGUAUAAACCUUUCAUUUGCUUACCAUUUUUUAGUGUUUUAGUGUCGGAGCAUGUUGUUGUUCCAACUGUUCCGAUUUUGUUCUCUUUGGAGAAAAUUGGAGGUUCUUUUUUCUUUAGUUUGAAAUAGCUUCUUGUAAAUGUUUUAAUUGUAUCGUUUGAGUUUAUAUCAGAUGUUAUAUUUGUGCAAAAUCAAAAGCACCUUCUUGGUUUACACAAAUUUUAUGCAGUAAUCUGGGUUAACUGUAAUUAUAGAUAGAAACUGUAUCAUUGAAAGUUCAAGGCUUGUGUGUCAAAUCAUGCUUUGUAUGGGGCUCUUCCCCAAAUGUAAUUUUACACUUGAACUCUGCUCUAAUUCUUGCAACGUGCUAUCUACACUUUGUUUAAUUCUUAUCUUGAUUGUUAUUACAAUGUAUUAUCCAUUAGAUGAAUAUUAAUGAUAUUCGUGUCAAUUUGCAUUCUUUUUUUUAAUAUUUUUUUAGUUUUUAUCAAAUGAAGUAACCAUUUAUUGAAAGAAAGAAGGGUUACAAAACAUUGGAAUAGGUAUCUAUCCAUUCCAUUAGCCACUGUUGCCCUGAUUCAACACUUCAUUUUGCUCCAAAGUCCACAAACUUGUAAUUCACACAGAUAAGUACAGUUCUCAAGUUUCUACCAUGUGGAAGCUGUGAAUUUAUCACUUCUUUAUAUAUUGUUUUAUCCGUUGCCUUCGGUGGACAAUUCAGUGGAGCAAAUCUUCCCAAUACUUUUCAACUAUUGUUCUGUCUUUUUUAGUAAGUUUGCAGGGGACAAUGUAUUAGCACUAGCAGUCGCUUCAUUGUGCUCUGUAUUUUUUCCCCUCCAUUUUAUUAUUCUCUUCUUCUGUUCUUCUCCAUCUAUUGGCUUUGUUCAACUUUUCUCUUUACUGAGAAUCAUGUCGUGCGUUUUUGCCAUUAUUUUACUUCUUGUCAUUUAUGUCUGUAGUAAGGUGGCUAAAAUCAGAUGCAGUAGUAGCAAUCAGGUCAAGUAAAGAGUUAUGCUAUAGCACUAGCAACAUAAUAGGAUUCUUAAUGCAGUAGUAGCUAUUUUCUAAACAUUUUGGCAAGUUGAAGAGUCAUGCACUUAUUACUAAUCAUGAAGUAAUAGUAGCUCACUCAAUUUUUUCCUUUUUUAUUCCUUCUCCACCCAUCCCUGAUGCUUAAGAGAUUUGAACCUAGUUUGGGUGCUCUUUGCACGAUUCUUAUCAAUUAUAUUGUAUUGGUACUAUGGUGUUUAUGCUCUGUAUCAAUUGAACUAUUUUGGGUUUUGGUUUCGUUAUAAUGAUUGUUAAAGGAGUUUAUUGUUAGCUUUUGAAAUCAGUCUUGAUCUUGUACUGAUUCAAUUAUUAUUUGUUGUUUUGUGUUAUAAUGAUUGUUAAAGGAGUUUAUUGUUAGCUUUUGAAAUCAGUCUUGAUCUUGUACUGAUUCAAUUAUUAUUUGUUGUUUUGUGUUGUUUGAGUGCUUUCUAUCUUUUCUCUGAAGUAGGGUACUUGUUAUUAUGUUCUUGUUGAUUAUACUUUGUUUAAUAGCAGAGUCUUUAGGUUGUGAGAAUUACUGUGAAAUAGUAAAGUAUUUCAUGUAUUGAUAGAAACUUUUCAAGGAGGGGAUAUUGUGAUAAUCCCAAUUCCAAUUUAUCUUUUCAAUUGGGUUUACAUUUUUCAAGCAAUUAAAGAUUUAUUUCUUUUACUUAUUUAGUUGGGUGCUUUUGUUUUAUUUGUUUUUGUCUCUCAGUUUUUCUUUCAGUUUUCAUUUACUUAUAUUAAUAGUUCUUGAGUUUAUUUCUUUUGUUGGUUUGUUUUUGGGUAUUGGGUUUUAAAUGAAGAGGAUAAGAGUUCAGCUUUUGGGGGCUGACGAGAAGAGGAAAAAAAAAAAAAAAAGAAGAGAGGAGGAGACGGGAAAAGAAGAGGGAGAAGGGGAGAGGAAAAGAAAGAAGAAAGAAAAGAAGGGGGAGAUCAGAGGUAAGAUGCAAAGGAAGAAGAGAAGAAACAGAGGGGAGGGGAGCGCGACUAUUUGAAAAAGAAAGAGGAAUGAGAAGUAGAAAGAGGGAGACGGAGAGGGAAUGAGAAGAGAGAAUUAGAGAGUUUGGGGCUUUUUUCAAAUGCUGCGAAUUUUGGGUAUUUCUAAAUUGGAGGAGAGUGAAGCUAUAGAAUUGUGUGAGAGUUUCGAUUGAAUUUUAGAAGAAAAAGAAAGAUGAAGGAAUGAGAAUGAGAGUUUGAUUUCCUGCUCUUGAAACUGAAUUGUGGGAAGGCCAAGGGAGGAAGUUUUCAGAAGUGAAGGGUUUUCGUCUGGGUUGUUUUGUAUCUAUGGUUGUCUUGCUUUACUGUGAGUGAUUUCCAUACUUUUUUAUUUGUUUUAUUUUCUUUAUAUCCACUGCCUUGCUGCCGUUAACAUGGAAUGUGAGAGUUUGGUAUUGAUAAAGGGUUAUGUUCGUUGUUUGAUGUCAUGUGAACUUACUGAAUUUGUUGAUUUGUAGUUUGGGUGCUCUUUGCACGGUUGUUAUCAAUUAUAUUGUAUUGGUACUCUGUUGUUUAUGCUCUGUAUCAAUUGAACUGUUUUGGGUUUUGGUCUCAUUAUAAUGAUUGUUAAAGGAGCUCUUGGGUUUAUUGUUAGCUUUUGAAAUCAGUCUUGAUCUUGUACCAAUUCAGUUAUUAUCUGAAGUUUUCUGUUGUUUGAGUGCUUUCUAUCUUUUCUCUGAAGUAAUGUACUUGUUAUUAUGUUCUUGUUGAUUAUACUUUGUUUAUUAGCACGGUCUUUAGGUUGUGAGAAUUACUGUCAAAUAGUAAAGUAUUUCAUAUAUGAAUUUGGAUUGGGAUUGGUUCAGUUUUGUUAGUUUUGUCUGUAAGUUUCACAUAUGUUAGUUUCUGACUAGCAAGAUUAAGCAAGUGCUCACCGAACCCUGUUUUGUUUUCUUCCGGCACUUAUUAUUGAGAGUUUAGGCUUUCUGCUAAAUCCCAUUUGUUUUGCAAAUGACAAUUUUAAAUCGGCUCCGAAGGUUAAAAGAGAGGUACUUCUCUUUGUAUGCCAGAGAGUUUGAUUGCAGACUCCUUAUUUGUUUAAAAAAAUUAUUUUGGUUCUGUUGGUUUGAGUUUUAAGCCUGUUGUUCCUUGGGUUUAAAAUUGGGAGAGGUAGCUUUUGCUGCUCCUAUAUUCAGCACCUUGUCGCUACAGCUGAGGCUCACUACUUUUAAUUGUUUUCAGAAUACUUCUUUUCUAUCUACAUUUAGUUUGUCAUCAAUCUUCUGACUUCAAGUUUCAUCCAUAUUAUCUCGUCAUUGGUGUUUGUAAUAACUAGCUUUAUAGAUGUGGAAAUAGUGAUUUACUGGGAAAGUCUCUUGCUUUAUGAUUUUGUUUACUAUAUUUGUUAAAGUCUCUUGCUUGGUGUUUACUUGCUUUCUGUUGCUAUUUGAGUACAUGAGUGGUGAUCGCUUUUCAGUGAUGUAGUGGUGGAACGAUUUCUACAAUUGAUUUCCAGAUUUGUGUGAUGGGAGCACGAAAAUUAUAUAUUAUUUUAGAAUCCUCUAGCCAGAAGGAGAGUGGUACCGGCACUGUGCACAUUACUAAUAUGACGUGGCCAUGAUUUGUGGCACGAUCAUGGGACUGUAAUAGCCUGAUUUAGCUAACGGGUUUUGCGGUGGCAAUUCUCAUAUGAUAUUUAGUUAACUGGUUUUGCGGUGGCAAUUCUCAUAUGAUAUUUAGUUAACGGGUUUGCAGUGGCAUUCCCAUAUGAUAUUUUGGAAAUGGAUUUGAGGUGAAUUUUCCUUGUGUUAUGAUUGGGUUUGCGGUGGCAUCCCAUUCUUAUUAUGAGAUUGCAGUGGCAGACUGGCAGGUCGUUGAUUUUAAAUGAUCAUUGUGUUGAUCUUGUUUCAAGUGGGUGCGUGUUGGUUUUUGAUUAAGUUAUAUUUCGGAGAUGUAAUAUAACGGAUUUUGUGAAAGUUUGUACUUUGAAAGUGCUUAAUUAGUAACAAGUUCUCAAUUCCUCAAUCUUGUGACUGGUUCUUGACAAUGAGAUUGUCUCUUUAAUUUAUUAUUUGGGUCGCUCACUGAACGUAGUUUUGCUCAUUUCUCAUUUGUUCGUGUUUGCAGGUUCUUUUAGUUUUCAAUUCAAAAGAGUUUGGGUUGAAUACAAUGAUGAUAGAAGGUUGUCUUAUUUUGUUGUACUUGUAAAAGAAAAACACUUUGGUUCUGUUGUACCGUUAUUAUUAAUUUAUUUACAACUAAUUUCUUAAAUUGUGUUUUUCUUUCUGCAAUUCAAUUUUAAAAUUCAGCCAGUAAAAAUGCUUUAGUUCAGUUUUGGGCCAAGGUUUAAAAAUAGUGAGCCUCAGGUUAUUACAGGUACUAUUAUUUUUUCUACUUGCUGAGGUCCACACUUUCUUUCGUUUCUUUUACCUUCGCUGUUUUGUUGGUAAGUGAUGUCGAGUUUACAGGACUAAACUCUUUUCAAGGGGGGAAGAAUGUGAUAUUCUAUUCCAAAUUUUUAUAUUUUUAAUAUAUAAUGUUCAUUUUUUUAUUUAUUAUAUUUUGUUUAUUUGUUAAUAGUAGAAAGGUUAUUAUCUUGGUUAGUCUUUAUAUUACUUGCUCCAUGUGGUGAUGGCUGGGGAAGCCACUGAGCAAAAGGUUUCUAGGACCUGAAGUUUGGGGGUGGGAGGGGUGUUUUUGGGAAAAAGGGAAGAAGAGGAAGAAACCGGAGGAGGAAAAGAAAAUAAAAAAGAAGAAAGAGUUUAGCAGAAGAAGAGAGGGUUUUAGAGGACAGCAAGAAGAAAGAGUUUGGUUCUUGUCAGAAAUUCAAGAUCUUGUAGGAAUGGUGAAAUUCAAUCUAUUGGUUGUGUUGGGUUUAAUUGUUGUGGAGUUCUGAGAAACUUAACUCUUAGAUUAAAGAGUGGGUUUUCAAGGGGUUGAAGAUGGAAUUGGAGAUAGAGUUCCUACAGUUCAUGUACUGGGCAUAUAUUAUUGAUUUGCAGUCAGGGGCACCAAAUUGAUUUUGUAGAGCUUUAUUUAUCAAGGAAACUAUAUGUAAGGUUAAGGAGACAUCUGAAUUUGUGUGUAGUAUUCUUCUCUUUCAAAGAGAGAUAUUAGGUUUGUGUAUUUUCUUUUCCUUGAAUGAUUAACCAUGAUUAGUGGCUUAUUCAUUUGGCGUGCGUUUGGCGACCAAAUAUAACGGGUAUGCGCUUGGCGACCCAAAACUCUCAUAGUGACUGUGGCAGCUCAAUACUAAUAGAACAGGUCUGUGGCGGUUCAAAGUUUUAUGUGUGAGCAAGCAGUUGGCUGCUCAGCUUAUAAAUCCAUGUCUGAGUUUGCUUGAUUUGUUCUCAAGAGAGGGGUGUAAGAACAGUGGCAAUAUCUACUUGUUUCAUAUUUGAUUGUAGUCAAUGAACUAUGCUUUUCUAACAUCCUAUAAAUAAAUCGUUUUGCAUGUA